GUCGAGGGGUAUAGUUCUUCGGAGCUAGAGACCGGCGCACGGGUGCGUAACGCGUAUGCAAUCUACCUUUCACAGAGGGAUAGCCCAGAGAAAUUUGGAUUAAUACCUCAUAGUAUUAUGGAGUGGCAUCACUUUAUAAUUAAAGUCACAACGGUGAAAGAUGAGCAUGCGUCCCAUUAGCUAGUUGGUAAGGUAACGGCUUACCAAGGCAACGAUGGGUAGGGGUCCUGAGAGGGAGAUCCCCCACACUGGUACUGAGACACGGACCAGACUCCUACGGGAGGCAGCAGUGAGGAAUAUUGGUCAAUGGACGCAAGUCUGAACCAGCCAUGCCGCGUGCAGGAUGACGGUCCUAUGGAUUGUAAACUGCUUUUGUACGAGAAGAAACACUCCUACGUGUAGGAGCUUGACGGUAUCGUAAGAAUAAGGAUCGGCUAACUCCGUGCCAGCAGCCGCGGUAAUACGGAGGAUCCAAGCGUUAUCCGGAAUCAUUGGGUUUAAAGGGUCCGUAGGCGGUUUAGUAAGUCA
rnacentral:rRNA from 1 species